rnacentral:tRNA from 1 species
GGGGUUGUGACUCAGUGGUAGAGUACUUGUCUUCUACAUGUGAGGCCCUAGGUUCGAUUCUCAGCAGCACAU